rnacentral:ncRNA from 1 species
GUCCUAUACAGAUGCAUCAACGCAAGACAGUGGAACAUCUCCCUGUAGGAUGAAAUUCAUCAGAAGCUCUGACAACAAAUCUUAUUGUGUGGCUACGGUCGAAAUGGGAUGAGUCAGAGUGGAAUAGGUUAACCGUAGAACUUUUGGUUGAAAAACCAUAAAACAAAUCUAAGAAUAUGACUUCUGCAUUUUCACUAUUUUUAGUUACGGUUCU